rnacentral:rRNA from 1 species
UGCAGCGACGCCGCGUGAGGGAUGACGGCCUAUCGGGUUGUAAACCUCUUUCAGUAGGGAAGAAGCGUAAGUGACGGUACCUGCAGAAGAAGCGCCGGCUAACUACGUGCCAGCAGCCGCGGUAAUACGUAGGGCGCAAGCGUUAUCCGGAAUUAUUGGGCGUAAAGAGCUCGUAGGCGGUUUGUCGCGUCUGCCGUGAAAGUCCGGGGCUCAACUCCGGAUCUGCGGUGGGUACGGGCAGACUAGAGUGAUGUAGGGGAGACUGGAAUUCCUGGUGUAGCGGUGAAAUGCGCAGAUAUCAGGAGGAACACCGAUGGCGAAGGCAGGUCUCUGGGCAUUAACUGACGCUGAGGAGCGAAAGCAUGGGGAGCGAACAGGAAUAGAUACCCUGGUAGUCCAUGCCGUAAACGUUGGGCACUAGGUGUGGGGGACAUUCCACGUUUUCCGCGCCGUAGCUAACGCAUUAAAGUGCCCCGCCUGGGGAGUACGGCCGCCAGGCUAAAACUCAAAAGAAUUGACGGGGGGGCCGCACAAACGGCGGGAGCACGCGGAAUAAUUCUUAUGCUACGCGAAAAAAACUUACCAAAGGCUUGACAUGAACCGGAAAAACCUGGAAACAGGUGCCCC